CUCCACUUGCUCUCUCGCGCUCCGGUUCCUCCGACUUGUUUAUUCCAUUUUCCUCUUCCUGAGACGGCCGUCGCUGCUGCGCGUGCGCGCCGAGGCGCGGUGGCUUGUGGGUAGGGGGAGCGCGAGGGGCAUCCUCGCCCGGCGUCCGGCCUCCGGGGCAUCCGCGAGUUGGGGGGCUGUUGGACCGGACGGUGGAGUUCUCACGAGACGAAUACCCUCCUUUGUUUUGUAUGUUUCAUAAUUCCAGACGUCAUUUUUUAAUUGGAAGGACAAAAUGAACAGAACGUAAACGGUCACUUUGAGGGCCCGCACUUGCGGACGGAGCCCAAGCCCUGGCUUUUUUUGAAGGAUGGUUUCAUUCUCUUUGCCACACUUACUCUCUUUUUUCACCAUUCUCCUUUUUUUCCUUCUUCUUGAAGGUCAUGAAAACUACAGGGCAGCCUGCCUUAAUUUCUGGGCCUUUCAUCAAAAAAACCGAGCUAAAAAAGGUUGGUUUGAGCGAACCUCCUGCUCAGUGUAGCACCUGUUUCCCAGUAGCUCUAUUACUGAAAGCCUUCAGUAAAAUACUGUGAAAAAUAAGAUUCCACCCGGGGACAACACUUCCUAGGCAGCACCAGACGGUUUCAUUUAUUUAUGUACAACGUUGCUUUUCUCCAGUCAGCCUAAUCUUGAUAGGAAAUUCAUUUUUAAAAAGCAGUUUCUCCCUCCGCUGUUUUGCUCUGCUAUAUGUUUUUUUAAAAGAAUGCUUUCAGGAAUUUUAAGGAGUUGCUGUGAAGGGAAAAGAAUUGUAACAUUCUCCUGUGUAAAAGAUUUUCUCAAAAAGCGAUAUUGCUGUUGUGAAGGGGUAGUAUGUGUUGGCAGUUAUUGAAGGAUUAUGGCACCCAAGGUCGCAGAACAACGGAUAUAAGCAAAUGUUACCACCCUGCAAAAGAGGGAAGAGUGGAUCCCUUAGACCACAGACUGGUAAGACUAGUGAUGUUCCUUGGCUAAAAUCAAUAAUAACAUUGUUUUCUGUCUUCUGUUGAGAAACAUUUUCACAUAUUUGUUAAGCAUAUUUAUUAAUGCCCAUUAUUAUGUACCAGUAACUGCUAGGUGCUGGGGAAUCAAACAAGACUCAGUCUUGUUUUUCAAAUAGCUUUUCAAAUGUUCUUUUGAAUGUUUUUCAAAUGUUUAUUCUCUGGGGAAGCAUAAAGUACACAGGUGAUUAUAAACCGCUGUCUCAAAUGCUAAUCUUAUCACGUUGGCUGUUAGAGGAUAUUAAAGAUGUUAGACUCCUGGAGAAAGUUGAUGCCGUAGUAGGAUGGCAUCAGUAAGUACUCUGAUUAGUCAUAAUCAAAAUGUUGGUAAAAGAUGGCUUUAAAGCUCCUUAAACAAUAUCCAAAGGGUAUUGAUAAAUUGGUACAAGUCAACAUGAUCUUUACUGUCCUCCUUUGGACUCUAUCCUUAACCUAUUUUUAUGAAAAAAUGUUUUAUACUGCUAGAUGAACAAAUAUAUAGAAUAUUCAUCAGAUCUGUAAUGUGUUGCAAAACCAGUGGGGGUAGAUAAUGCAAUAAAUGGCAGAUUAGUAUCUGUAAAUCUCCUUAAGAUAGAAAAAAAAUGAAGGAGUACCACAAAAUGAAACCUGAAUUAAGUUGGGAAAACAGAGCAAAGGAGUACUUUAAUACAGAACACAUAGUAUACCCUGUCCCCCUGCACCAAAGCAAAUUGGCAAUGUUUUUUCAAAGUUCUUUGAAAUGUACAUUGCCUUUAAACCAUUACUAUUGUACUUGGCAAAUAAAUCCUAAGAAAAUAACUAUAAAUAAGUUUUAUGAUCCUGUGUAAUCACUGCAGUUAUUACAUAUGAAAACCAAAGAAGAAAAAGUUACAAACAAUCCAAAUUCUAAAACCAGGGGGGAAUGGUUAAAUAAGUAAACUAGCCACAUGGAAUAUUAGGCAGCCAUUAAAAAAGAUAGCCAUGAAAACAUACAACAGUAUUUAUGAUACAGUGUAAAUAUUUAACACAAUACAAAAUUGUAUAUGCUGUUUUAGGGUAAUGAUGUGAACAAUAAGGAACCUUAUAGAAAUAAAGAUUUAAGUAACUGCUUCAGAACAUUAACAGAUUUUACUAAGUGGUAAGAUGAGAGUAGGUUUUUCCUAUUUUUCCUCUACCCCCAAAAUUUGUACAUGAAUAAUUUCUGUAAUAGAAAAAUAAGCAUUAAACUUCUUUAAUCUUUAUCUCUUAAUUCUGAGGAGUAAGUAAAUGAAUGUGAAAUCA